rnacentral:rRNA from 1 species
AUUGAACGCUGGCGGCAUGCCUUACACAUGCAAGUCGAACGGUAACAGGUCUUCGGAUGCUGACGAGUGGCGAACGGGUGAGUAAUACAUCGGAACGUGCCUAGUAGUGGGGGAUAACUACUCGAAAGAGUGGCUAAUACCGCAUGAGAUCUACGGAUGAAAGCAGGGGAUCGCAAGACCUUGUGCUACUAGAGCGGCCGAUGGCAGAUUAGGUAGUUGGUGGGAUAAAAGCUUACCAAGCCGACGAUCUGUAGCUGGUCUGAGAGGACGAUCAGCCACACUGGGACUGAGACACGGCCCAGACCCCUACGGGAGGCAGCAGUGGGGAAUCUUGGACAAUGGGCGCAAGCCUGAUCCAGCAAUGCCGCGUGCAGGAUGAAGGCCUUCGGGUUGUAAACUGCUUUUGUACGGAACGAAAAGCCCUGGGUUAAUACCCUGGGGUCAUGACGGUACCGUAAGAAUAAGCACCGGCUAACUACGUGCCAGCCGCCGCCGUAAGAC